ACUCAAAGGAAUUGACGGGGGUCCGCACAAGCGGUGGAACAUGUGGUUUAAUUCGAUACUACGCGAGGAACCUUACCUAGGCUUGACAUGCUUGUGACAGCUGUAGAAAUACAGUCUUUUGAGCUUCGGUUCAAACACAUGCACAGGUGCUGCAUGGCUGUCGUCAGCUCGUGUCGUGAGAUGUUGGGUUAAGUCCUUUAACGAGCGCAACCCUUGCCGUCAGUUGCUAACCACGUAGGUGGAGCACUUUGAUGGGACUGCCUGGGAAACCAGGAGGAAGGUGGGGAUGACGUCAAGUCCGCAUGGUCCUUAUGCCUAGGGCAACACACGUGUUACAAUGGCCAGCACAGAGGGUCGCAAUUCCGUAAGGAGGAGCCAAUCCCUAAAUCUGGUCUAAGUUCGGAUUGAGGUCUGCAACUCGACCUCAUGAAGUUGAAAUCGCUAGUAAUCGCGCAUCAGAACGGCGCGGUGAAUACGUUCUCGGGCCUUGUACACACCGCCCGU
rnacentral:rRNA from 1 species